AUACAAACUAUGACAAAGAGGAGUAAAGAAUAAGGAGUAUAAAGAGAGGAAAGUUCAUUGGCUGCAAGGCUUUCUAUACAAAUUUUCUUGAAGGUAGCUUUGGAGUUUCUUUACUGAACUUUUAAGUAGGUAAAGACGGUUUACUUAAAUCGUUAUUAUAUUAAGAGCCUGCAUUGCAUAUAAUACAGGAAAAAAGGUGGUACCGCGAGUCUUCGUCCUUUUA
rnacentral:ncRNA from 1 species